GACGAACGCUGGCGGCGUGCCUAAUACAUGCAAGUCGAACGAGAGCGACCGGUGCUUGCACUAGUCAAUCUACUGGCGUACGGGUGAGUAACACGUGGGUAACCUGACCAUCAGAGAGGGAUAACAUUCGGAAACGGAUGCUAAAACCGAAUAGGUCUUCGAACCGCAUGGUUUGAAGAGGAAAAGAGGCGCAAGCUUCUGCUGCUGGAUGGACCCGCGGUGCAUUAGCUAGUUGGUGAGGUAACGUCUCACCAAGGCCGUGAUGCAUAGCCGAGCUGAGAUGGUGAUCGGCUACAUUGGGACUGAAACACGGCCCAAACCCCUACGGGAGGCAGCAGUAGGGAAUCUUCCGCAAUGGACGGAUGUCUGACGGAGCAACGCCGCGUGAGUUAAGAAGGUAUUGUGAUCUUGAAUCUCUGUUGUUAUAGAAGAAUAAGUACUAGAGUAACUGUUAGCGCCUUGACGGUAUCUAACCAGAAAGCCACGGCUAACUACGUG
rnacentral:rRNA from 1 species